rnacentral:rRNA from 1 species
AGAACGAACGCUGGCGGCGUGCUUAACACAUGCAAGUCGAGUGCGCGUUCUUGUAGCAAUACAGGAAUGGCGCACGGCGCACGGGUGCGUAACACGUGGGUAAUCUGCCCUCCGAUGGGGAUAACCCCGCGAAAGCGGGGCUAAUUCCGCAUAAUAUUCCUUGGACUCCGGUUCGAGGAUUCAAAGGCGUAAGUCGUCGGAGGUGGAGCCCGCGCCCGAUUAGCUAGUUGGUGAGGUAACGGCUCACCAAGGCAAUGAUCGGU